GUGGUGGUAGCUCAGUGGUUAAGAUAUUGGACUUCUGAUGAGAAGGUUGUGAGUUCAAAUCCCUGCACUACC